GGCCUCUGAGUCCCUGAGACCCUUUAACCUGUGAGGACAUCCAGGGUCACAGGUGAGGUUCUUGGGAGCCUGGCGUCCGG
ensembl:miRNA MIR125A microRNA mir-125a